rnacentral:tRNA from 3 species
GGAGGCGUGGCCGAGUGGUUGAUGGCGCUGGUCUUGAAAACCAGUAUGGGCGUCAGCCCAUCGAGGGUUCGAAUCCUUCCGCCUCCG